CUUAUUGUUUCUAGUUCUUUUAUCAACUUGUGAUUUAUAUUAGUACGUUCUGAAGCUGAAUAUGUGGAUAGAAUGAGUGUGAAUAAAGAAAAUACAACUCUAUAUUUCAUUUACAUACAAUUCUGAUUAUACUCUGCUCGUGGUUCAAUCUCCCCCCUCGGAAUCUUGAAUUCUGGAAAAUACAUGAGAGGAAGCGAGCCACUAAAAUCCGCAUCCCAGCCUCAUCAUAUUCCAGCAUUCCAACCUCAUCAUAUUCCAGCAUUCCAACCUCGUUAUAUUCCAGCAUUCCAACCUCGUUAUAUUCCAGCAUUCCAACCUCAUAAUAUUCCAGCAUCCUGCAGCCUCAUCAUAUUCCAGCAUUCCAACCUCGUUAUAUUCCAGCAUUCCAGCCUCAUCAUAUUCCAGCAUUCCAACCUUGUUAUAUUCCAGCAUUCCAGCCUCAUAAUAUUCCAGCAUCCUGCAGCCUCAUUAUAUUCCAGCAUUCCAACCUCGUUAUAUUCCAGCAUCCCAGCAUCAUCAUAUUCCAGCAUUCCAACCUCGUUAUAUUCAGCAUCCCAGACUCAUCAUUUUCCAGCAUUCCAACCUCGUUAUAUUCCAGCAUCCCAGUCUCAAUUUCAAGCUCAAGACUGGGUACAAAUUUACCAGAUUAAGUUCUGCGUCGAAGCAUUUUUCGACGUGUCUUCUUUAUAAACAAAAAAAUUGAUAAUUUACCAUAGACAUAAAA